rnacentral:lncRNA from 1 species
UAUUAUCCUUUAAGACAUUAUUUAUGAUUAUUGGUUCUGUGAGUUUUAUACAGACCAAGGAAAAAUUCUCACAAAAAAUUUUCCAAUCGAAAUUCAAUCGAUUCCAUUCGAAGAGGGGAAGAGACGAGGAAGAAGCGACUUCCUUCCUCCGUCCUUUGUCCUAGAGUAAUGGAAAAGAAAGCGCAGGUGGGGUAGCAGGCCAGAUCUCUUUUCGCUCUGCUCAAGAUCUCAUAUUAGAGAGCAUCCAUCCAUCCAUCCAUCCAUCCAUCGGGUCCAUAGGAUUUUAUAGAAGCGUGGGAGAGAGGGACAGGUGGUUCGAGUUAUCCUUGUGUAUCCUGCGUUCUUCAGUAGCACCUUACCGUAUAUUCGAUAUUUCUGUUCCAUAUCCUACCUGAGCACACCUUGUGGGAAAGCUUCCUGAUGCUGAUUGAAUCGUGGAAACCGUGAACGCGAUUGAUCUCGUAUCCGACUAGAAUAGGCGCCAUGAAAUUUACAUAGAUUCGACGAAUGUUUUAUGAACGGUUGAAGAAAAAGUAAAUCGAAAUGGAAAUUGGCAAUUAUCUCUUCAAAAAUGAUUUUACGAACGCUAAAAAGAAGUAUCAACACUUACGUACCCUGUCGUUUCAUGAGCCAACUUAAUUUACGCUUCUCGCAUGAAAGUUUAAUUGCUUCUACUCUUUUCGCGAAACAGGGAAUUAUUCGAUCAAGCGGAGAAGCGUGAAGAAGAACCUGUGCCUUGCCAAUGUUUAAACUCGAGAUGAUUGUAGCUGUUUCUAAAAAUAAACACGACAUACA